rnacentral:rRNA from 1 species
GGCUCAGAACGAACGCUGGCGGCGUGCCUAAUACAUGCAAGUCGUACGAGAAAGUCCGGCUUCGGUUGGACGAGUAAAGUGGCGAACGGGUGAGUAACACGUGGGAAAUCUGCCUUCAUGUCUGGGAUAAGCCUUCGAAAGGGGGUCUAAUACCGGAUAAUAUCCUCGGGCGGCAUCGCUUGAGGAUCAAAGGCGGGGCAACCUGUCGCAGGAAGAUGAUCCCGCGCUCCAUUAGCUUGUUGGUGAGGUAACGGCUCACCAAGGCUGCGAUGGAUAGCCGACCUGAGAGGGUGACCGGCCACACUGGGACUGAGAUACGGCCCAGACUCCUACGGGAGGCAGCAGUAGGGAAUAUUGCGCAAUGGACGCAAGUCUGACGCAGCAACGCCGCGUGGGUGAUGAAGCUCCUUGGAGUGUAAAACCCUGUCAGUGGGGAAGAAACGUGCGGGUAGUAACUGAUUCGCACCUGACGGUACCCACAGAGGAAGUCCCGGCUAACUCCGUGCCAGCAGCCGCGGUAAUACGGGGGGGACGAGCGUUGUUCGGAUUUACUGGGCGUAAAGGGCGCGUAGGCGGACCUUCAAGUCGGAUGUGAAACCUGUCGGCUUAACUGACAGUCUGCACCCGAUACUGUUGGCCUUGAGUACAGGAGAGGAGAGCGGAAUUCCUGGUGUAGCGGUGAAAUGCGUAGAUAUCAGGAAGAACACCGGUUGCGAAGGCGGCUCUCUGGACUGAUACUGACGCUUAAGCGCGAAGGCUUGGGGAGCAAACAGGAUUAGAUACCCUGGUAGUCCAAGCGGUAAACGAUGGGCACUAGGUGUCGGGGGUAUCGACCCCCCCGGUGCCGAAGCUAACGCAUUAAGUGCCCCGCCUGGGGAGUACGGUCGCAAGAUUGAAACU